rnacentral:rRNA from 1 species
CACGUAGGGGACGAGCGUUGUCCGGAUUCAUUGGGCGUAAAGCGCGCGUAGGCGGCUCGGAAAGUCGGGCGUGAAAUCCCGAGGCUCAACCUCGGGUCUGCAUCCGAUACUGCCCGGCUAGAGGUAGGUAGGGGAGAUCGGAAUUCCUGGUGUAGCGGUGAAAUGCGCAGAUAUCAGGAGGAACACCGGUGGCGAAGGCGGAUCUCUGGGCCUUACCUGACGCUCAGGCGCGAAAGCUAGGGGAGCGAACUGG